rnacentral:rRNA from 1 species
CCUACGGGAGGCAGCAGUGAGGAAUAUUGGUCAAUGGACGAGAGUCUGAACCAGCCAAGUAGCGUGAAGGAUGACUGCCCUAUGGGUUGUAAACUUCUUUUAUAUGGGAAUAAAAUGUUCCACGUUUGGGAUUUUGUAUGUACCAUAUGAAUAAGGAUCGGCUAAAUCCGUGCCAGCAGCCGCGGUAAUACGGAGGAUCCGAGCGUUAUCCGGAUUUAUUGGGUUUAAAGGGAGCGUAGGUGGAUUGUUAAGUCAGUUGUGAAAGUUUGCGGCUCAACCGUAAAAUUGCAGUUGAAACUGGCAGUCGUGAGUACAGUAGAGGUGGGCGGAAUUCGUGGUGUAGCGGUGAAAUGCUUAGAUAUCACGAAGAACUCCGAUUGCGAAGGCAGCUCACUGGACUGCAACUGACACUGAGGCUCGAAAGUGUGGGUAUCAAACAGGAUUAGAUACCCUUGUAGUC